CCCCUCCUAAGAGCUGCUUGCUGGCACCCAGCUAAAGGACAGGGUACCAAAAAGGAAAUGUCACAGCCAGAGUUCUUCCUGUCACUCCACAAGGGCUGACCACCAUGUCCCUGAGCAGGAAGGAGAGGGACUUUUCUGGUCCAGGAGUCUGCCUCAGCAGUCCCAAUCUGGUGUGGAAAACCUGCAAGGUUCCCGGAGAGCUUAGUCCUUAGUCCACCAGGGAACCCUGAAACGCUGCUUCUGACCAGCAAAGGAAUCAUCAGCAGCAACAGGAUGAACCCACUUGGCCGCAAGAGAAAAGGCCAAGCAAGCAAAAGUUCUGGGACUGGCUUCUCAAGGUCAAUCAGGUACCCUGGUCCAGACAAUGUGACAACCUGUACAAUGUGAUCAACUGCCUGAUGGAAACAUUGUCACCACCAGAUCCAGUUUGGAAGGAAGGAGGAAGCGAGGUGGGGGAGUCACUACUGAUACCCAUGCCCAUCACUUCCCUCAGGUAACCUUGCUAAGAACUUCAUCCUGUGGCCCCACCUGAGCCCAAAGGAACAUGGGAAAUGUAGUCUAGGAGGCAGCAGACAAAACAGGACUUUACUGGAAGAAAGCAAUUUGAGGAGGGCAGUGGCACA